rnacentral:rRNA from 1 species
AAUCAACGCUGGCGGCGUGCCUAACACAUGCAAGUCGAACGCGAAAGCCCGCAAGGGUAAGUAGAGUGGCGCACGGGUGAGUAACACGUGGACAACCUGCCUUCGAGUGGGGAAUAACCUUCCGAAAGGAGGGCUAAUACCGCAUAACACCUCGGGACACAAGUUCUGGGGUUGGAAAAGAGCAAUUUGCUCGAAGAGGGGUCCGCGCCUGAUUAGCUAGUUGGUGAGGUAACGGCUCACCAAGGCUUCGAUCAGUAGCCGUCCUGAGAGGGAGCACGGCCACACUGGAACUGAGACACGGUCCAGACUCCUAC